rnacentral:rRNA from 1 species
GGCUAACGCUGGCGGCGUGUCUUAGCCAUGCAAGUCGAGCGGACUUAUGGGGUAACUUAUAAGUCAGCGGCGGACGGCGGAGUAACACGUAGCUAACCUACCCUCUGGACGGGGAUAACCUACCGAAAGGUGGGCUAAUACCCGAUGUAGUCAUCCUGUAUAGGGGUGAUGAAAGGUGGGCUUCUGUUUACAAGCUCAUGCUGGAGGAGGGGGCUGCGGCCUAUCAGGUAGUUGGUAGGGUAAUAGCCUACCAAGCCGAUGACGGGUAGCCGGCCUGAGAGGGUGACCGGCCCGAGGGGCACUGAGAUACGGGUCCCACUCCUACGGGAGGCAGCAGGCUAGAAAUUUGGGCAAUGGGGGAAACCCUGACCCAGUGACGCCGCGUGCAGGAAGGAGCCCUUCGGGGUGUAAACUGCUGUCGUGUAGGGAGAAGGGUACUAAGGUGGAACAAUCUUAGUACUUGACGGUACUACAGGAGGAAGCCCAGGCUAACCUCGUG